UACUUACUUCCUCCAUUUCAAAUUACUCGUCACAGAAAUGGAUGUAUCUAGAACUAAAAUACAUCUAGAUACAUCCAUACCUGCGACAAGUAAUUCGGAACGGAGGGAGUACAUA
rnacentral:pre_miRNA from 1 species